rnacentral:rRNA from 1 species
UACGUAGGGGGCUAGCGUUAUCCGGAAUUACUGGGCGUAAAGGGUGCGUAGGUGGUUUCUUAGGUCAGAGGUGAAAGGCUACGGCUCAACCGUAGUAAGCCUUUGAAACUGAGAAACUUGAGUGCAGGAGAGGAGAGUAGAAUUCCUAGUAGUAGCGGUGAAAUGCGUAGAUAUUAGGAGGAAUACCAGUUGCGAAGGCGGCUCUCUGGACUGUAACUGAACACUGAGGCACGAAAGCGUGGGGGAGCAAACAGG